UGAUUGGACAAAACAACGUUUGUUUUAUAAACGUUUAAGGGGGGGGUUUGCACUAUAGGGUCAGGAAUACAUGUUUGUUUUCCUGACUCUAUAGUGUUCCUUUAAUAUUGGACCUUCUUGUAGAAGUAAAAGGUAUAUAACUCAGACUAUUUCUUUUAAUUUUGUAAUAUACAAUUUGUCAGAGUGAUACAUUUUCUCGAGGAGAUGUUAAUGAAAUACUUGCCUCUGCAGGAAUGCUGUCACCACUACUAUGGCCAGUCCAAACUCCCCUACUUCGUCAUUGGUGCAAUUUGGGAACCAAACUUCGUUGCAUGUGCAUUAGUCAAUAUGUGCUUAUAUUCCUCUAGCAAAGUAGGAGGUACGCACGCCAGGUGACAUUUGCCUUGGCCCCGAGGGGGGGAGGCAUGGGCGAUUGUGGAGGAAAGACGCAGGCAGCCGCAAAGGGUGUGAGAAGGCACGCUCCUCCGCCCAGGGGAGUACCUGUG